rnacentral:misc_RNA from 1 species
GUUUUGCUUUACUGAUUUCAAGUAGCCAAUAUGUAUUGUUCCUUAACCAACAUAUAUUAAUUAUAUUAUAAAGAAGAAAUAAGUGGCAUAAGCAAUGACAACAAACGCUUCAAUCACAAGCAAGUUGGAGUCGAUUAUAUAAAUCUUCAAUGUCAAUAUCGUUCCAGUUUUCAAUAUUCUUCAUCAGAACUCCAGGGUCUUUGCAGCUAAAUCAAAUACUUGCUCCAGCUCUUGUUUUACUUUAUUACCAGCAAAAAUAAAAUUAACAGCAUUCCUAGCCAGCUGGAACAUCUCUCUCUUUUGUAUACCAAAACUAGAAGAGGCAAGACUAUACUCGCCAGAUACGCUGGUAGAGAAUACCCCCGAGUCAUCAGUGCAGAGGACAAUUGGAUGUCCACUAAUAUAUAAAUCCGCAAAAUGAUGAAUAUCCAAAGAAGAUAUCGUUUCAGUCCUGAUGUUGGAAGUCAAGCAAAUUUCAACCGGUAAUUUUAAGGAUUUAAGCUUUGCCCAUUCUUCUUCUCCAAAGCAACAAGCAUGGCCAAUUCUUGCGGGAAGAAAAUCUAGCAUUGCAUGGAUUUCCACCUGAUUGGGUACCUCGCCACAGUGAAGGGUAAUCAGUAGUCCUUGCUCUUUAGCAAACUCCAAAGCAGGAAGAAAGGUUAGCCAUUCACCAAUGAUAGGAUUGCCAGAAAGGUCGAUACCCACAACUCCCAAAUGUCUCAUUUCCAAAGCAAGCUUAACAGUUUCCAUUG